rnacentral:rRNA from 1 species
ACACAUGCAAGUCGAGGGGCAGCAUAAUGGAUAGCAAUAUCUAUGGUGGCGACCGGCGCACGGGUGCGUAACGCGUAUGCAACCUACCUUUAACAGGGGGAUAACACUGAGAAAUUGGUACUAAUACCCCAUAAUAUCAUAGAAGGCAUCUUUUAUGGUUGAAAAUUCCGAUGGUUAGAGAUGGGCAUGCGUUGUAUUAGCUAGUUGGUGGGGUAACGGCUCACCAAGGCGACGAUACAUAGGGGGACUGAGAGGUUAACCCCCCACACUGGUACUGAGACACGGACCAGACUCCUACGGGAGGCAGCAGUGAGGAAUAUUGGUCAAUGGACGCAAGUCUGAACCAGCCAUGCCGCGUGCAGGAUGACGGCUCUAUGAGUUGUAAACUGCUUUUGUACGAGGGUAAACGCAGAUACGUGUAUCUGUCUGAAAGUAUCGUACGAAUAAGGAUCGGCUAACUCCGUGCCAGCAGCCGCGGUAAUACGGAGGAUUCAAGCGUUAUCCGGAUUUAUUGGGUUUAAAGGGUGCGUAGGCGGUUUGAUAAGUUAGAGGUGAAAUUUCGGGGCUCAACCCUGAACGUGCCUCUAAUACUGUUGAGCUAGAGAGUAGUUGCGGUAGGCGGAAUGUAUGGUGUAGCGGUGAAAUGCUU